rnacentral:rRNA from 1 species
UACGAAGGGUGCGGGCGUUACUCGGAAUUACUGGGCGUAAAGCGUGCGUAGGUGGUUCGUUAAGUCUGUCGUGAAAGCCCCGGGCUCAACCUGGGAAUGGCAUUUGGGACUGCAAGGCUGGAGUGUGGCAGAGGAGACUGGAAUUCCUGGUGUAGCAGUGAAAUGCGUAGAUAUCAGGAGGAAUACCGAUGGCGAAGGCAGGUCUCUGGGCUGACACUGACGCUCAUGCACGAAAGCGUGGGGAGCAAACAGG